CCUACGGGUGACUGCAGUGAGGAAUAUUGGUCAAUGGACGACACUCUGAACCAGCCAAGUAGCGUGAAGGAUGACUGCCCUAUGGGUUGUAAACUUCUUUUAUGUGGGAAUAAAAUGUUUCACGUGUGGCUUUUUGCAUGUACCAUAUGAAUAAGGACCGGCUAAUUCCGUGCCAGCAGCCGCGGUAAUACGGAGGGUCCGAGCGUUAUCCGGAUUUAUUGGGUUUAAAGGGAGCGUAGGUGGAUUCUUAAGUGAGUUGUGAAAGUUUGCGGCUCAACCGUAACAUUGCAGCUGAAACUGGCAGUCGUGAGUACAGUAGAGGUAGGCGGAAUUCGUGGUGUAGCGGUGAAAUGCUUAGAUAUCACGAAGAACUCCGAUUGCGAAGGCAGCUCACUGGAGUGUAACUGACGCUGAGGCUCGAAGGUGUGGGUAUCGAACAGGAUUAGAUACCCCUGUAGUC
rnacentral:rRNA from 1 species